rnacentral:rRNA from 1 species
GACGAACGCUGGCGGCGUGCUAACACAUGCAAGUCGAACGGUAAGGCCCUUCGGGGUACACGAGUGGCGAACGGGUGAGUAACACGUGGGUGAUCUGCCCUGCACUUCGGGAUAAGCCUAGGAAACUGGGUCUAAUACCGGAUAGGACUCCUGCCUGCAUGGGUGGGGGUGGAAAGCUUUUGCGGUGUGGGAUGGGCCCGCGGCCUAUCAGCUUGUUGGUGGGGUGAUGGCCUACCAAGGCGACGACGGGUAGCCGGCCUGAGAGGGUGACCGGCCACACGGGGACUGGAGUACGGCCCAGACUCCUACGGGAGGCAGCAGUGGGGAAUAUUGCACAAUGGGCGCAAGCCUGAUGCAGCGACGCCGCGUGAGGGAUGACGGCCUUCGGGUUGUAAACCUCUUUCAGCACAGACGAAGCGCAAGUGACGGUAUGUGCAGAAGAAGGACCGGCCAACUACGUGCCAGCCGCCGCCGUAA